AGUCCCCGCAGGCACCGCCCCUGCCCGCCCGGCGGGGAGGGGCCUGCGGCCGCCGCGCUGAGGCAGCGACCGCGACGGACCCUCCCCUCCGGGAGGAGGGGGACAGCGCUGUGUGAGAGUGCGGCUGGAGCGGCGCGGCCAGUCCCUUCGUCAUGACCAAUCGGACUGCCGACAGUCGGAGAGCGACUGGGGCGGGUCAGAGGGAGGAAACCGAGCCAUGGCUCCGACGGGAGGAGCGGGGAGCCGGGCGGAGCCUGUCACCGCACCUGCAGGUACCAGUAGCAGUCAUUGCGGGAAGCGGCCUCGCACCUACCGCCUUGCAACGCGGGCUGUUCCGGCAGGAGCAGGUCACGGUGCCCCUUGUGCCACGGGGGACCUUUCCCAAACCUGCCCAGGUACACAGCCGGAGAGCCGCUGGCUGCCAGUGCGGCUGAGCAGCGCCCGGGCAGGCACCCAUGCUGUCAGAUGCUUCACAGAUGAGCUAAAGUGGAACCAUGUGGAAAUAGUUUUAACUUUUGUAAUGAAAGCUCUGGUUUUAAGGCCUGUGGAAUCCCUCAGAACAUAGUAAUAUUUGGCUUCAGGACAAAGUUAAUUGUAAGGAAGGACAGGAAAUGGAAAGAAACCUCCGAGAAACUUCCAGAUCAACAGGCACACCAGAAAGAAUUGUGCAGUGGAUUUGCAAUGCAAUUGCUGGUCAUCGCUGGACUGCAAGAUUCUGACCCUCCAUCCGACUGCCCUGGGUCAGUAGAAUACAAACUGUGAGCCAGAUCCGGCUUGGCAUAACUCCCAUAUUGUACUAGUCAUUUCUACUGAAUAGGAACAAAAGGUAUUCCUCUUUGCCAGAUUCUACUCUGCUCUUGUGAGACCCCCACCUGGA